rnacentral:tRNA from 2 species
GGCCGUUUAGCUCAGCUUGGUUAGAGCGCCGAGCUAAUAACUCGGAGGUCCUGGGUUCGAGCCCCAUAAUGGCCA